rnacentral:rRNA from 1 species
GACGAACGCUGGCGGCGUGCUUAACACAUGCAAGUCGAACGGAAAGGCCCUGCUUUUGUGGGGUGCUCGAGUGGCGAACGGGUGAGUAACACGUGAGUAACCUGCCCUUGACUUUGGGAUAACUUCAGGAAACUGGGGCUAAUACCGGAUAGGAGCUCCUGCUGCAUGGUGGGGGUUGGAAAGUUUCGGCGGUUGGGGAUGGACUCGCGGCUUAUCAGCUUGUUGGUGUGGUAGUGGCUUACCAAGGCUUUGACGGGUAGCCGGCCUGGGAGGGUUGCCGGCCACCUUGGGACUGAGAUACGGCCCAGACUCCUACGGGAGGCAGCAGUGGGGAAUAUUGCACAAUGGGCGGAAGCCUGAUGCAGCAACGCCGCGUGCGGGAUGACGGCCUUCGGGUUGUAAACCGCUUUCGCCUGUGACGAAGCGUGAGUGACGGUAAUGGGUAAAGAAGCACCGGCUAACUACGUG